UACGAAGGGAGCUAGCGUUGUUCGGAAUUACUGGGCGUAAAGCGCAUGCAGGCGGAUCGUUAAGUCGGGGGUGAAAUCCCGAGGCUCAACCUCGGAACUGCCUUCGAUACUGGCGAUCUUGAGUCCGGGAGAGGUGAGUGGAACUGCGAGUGUAGAGGUGAAAUUCGUAGAUAUCUGGAGGAACACCGGUGGCGAAGGCGGCAUCCUGGACCGGCAUUGACGCUGAGGCGCGAAAGCCAGGGGAGCAAACGGG
rnacentral:rRNA from 1 species